CAAUCAAGAUGUAUUUGCUCAUGACCUAAAGUACGUGUACAAGACUGAAAAGCACAUGCACGCAAUGAAUGCAUACCAACGCAGUCUUGCAGGUGUUCACGUGGUUUUGCACAUGUGCCAGGUGAAAUUUCAAUUGCACCACUGACACUCUAAAAACUCGGGUAAAUAAUACUUUCCUGUGGAUAUUUUGUUUCAAAUGUUGCCCAGCUGAAAUACCAACCGGUACAUUCAAAUGAAAUGUUAUUCAACAUUCUGGCAGAGUUUUGUUUGACUUUAACAAUAAUUUGUAUCAUAGUCUGUCUGAUUAGGCAACCUCCCCCUAUCUGUCAGUCAGUUGCAGACGCGCUGCCUCCCCCUCAUGUUGCCGACUGACUGGAAAUAGAAACAUAAAUAUACACACCGAUAACUAACAACUUAACGCAGCCGGUCACUGAGGGGCAUGAGAGCCUUGUUGGAGGCCAGCGCUUUUGCUUGCCGGACCCAGUGCUGGUGACGGGGACAUGGGCCUCUUCCUCAGGGCUUCCAGCACGACCCAGCUCCACACAAGCCAGAGCCUCAGCCACCAACUGGUCCAGCACCACCCAGACACCAACGGCAGCAGCACGCAGAGGGACCCCGCCUCAGUGGGUCUCGCCCUUCUCUUCGGCGCUACCACUGACCUGCAGGCCAAGCACCGCAGCCGGUCUCGAGCUCUUGGUAGACGAAGCUCCAAGUAGCCUUCUCUAAUGAGGAUGUCUGAUACUGUCACUGUAAAGGAGACUAGCGCCACUAUGAGAGGUGUGGAGACGGAGGAGAGCCACCAUGCCAGUGCCACACCGACACCAGCGGGGGGAGAAGAACCAAGCCCGACCAAGACAAACGGCAGGGAGCAGGCAGAGACCCCGCCACAGGCCAAAGCUCAAACCCAGCUCCAACCCGAGAUUCAACCAGAGAGCUGCUGCCAAGACAAGAACGAAACUCUGGAUGAAGUUGAGAUCCAGGUCUCCCAGUCAUUUGACAAAGAGGAGGUGCCACCCAUCAAGGAUGAGGAGGACAAAGGUGUGGAGAAGCUGCUAGAGAAGACUGAGAGGAUGCCCAGGAAGAUGCUGUCCAGAGAUUCCAGUCAGGAGUACACAGAUUCUACCGGGAUCGAUAUCCAUGAAUUCUUAGUAAACACAUUGAAAAACAACCCCAGGGACAGAAUGAUGCUGCUGAAGUUGGAACAGGACAUUCUCGACUUUAUCAGUAAUAACGAAAGCCAGAAGAGAAAGUUCCCUCCAAUGACCUCCUACCACAGAAUGCUGCUGCACCGCGUCGCCGCCUACUUCGGCCUAGACCACAACGUCGACCAAACCGGGAAAUCUGUAAUCAUCAACAAAACUAGCAAUACAAGAAUCCCUGAUCAAAAGUUUUCAGAACACAUCAAAGACGACAAAACUGACGACUUCCAAAAGCGCUACAUUCUCAAAAGGGACAACUCCGGCUCAGACAAAGAUGACAACAUGGGUCCAGAUGGCUUGGCUCUUGAAAAAAGGAAACAGGAGGAUGAUGCUUGUAACAGUACACAGCAAAGGCGGCAAAUGUUUAGGUUAAAAGAUGGCCACCCGGCCAACAGUCGCCAGAGCAGCUCUGAGAACGAACCCAAGUACUCUGACCCUCGGCCGUGGAGCAGCACAGACUCUGACAGCUCCAACCGUAACCUGAGGCCAGCCAUGACCAAGGCCAGCAGCUUCAGCGGCAUCUCUGUCCUCAUCAGGGGAGACAGUUCGGGCAGCAGCAAGAGCAUGGGUCGCCUCUCUAAGACUGGUUCACUAGAGUCUUCUAGUAGUGUAGGGUCCUCCACGGGUUCGCUCUCUCGCUCCCAGCUGCCCCUCACCGUCCCAGCUCUAACCCAGGCUGGCCACCCUCACAACCACGCCGUGCCCCCCUGCCCAGUGGCUUACCCAGCCACCUGCACUAGUAGUACUGUGACUUAUGAGGCGGGAGGCAGGAGCGGCCCGGUGCCGCCACCACCAGCAAAUACAGCUAACACUAGCUACUAUUUGCUUCCCCUGGAAGCCAUAGGGAUACCGCCAGGGAGUAUCCUGGUCAACCCACACACAGGCCAGCCCUUUGUGAACCCGGAUGGCAGUGCUGUGGUAUACAACCCCAACCACAGCAUGCAGGGCAGGACCCAGCAGCCCAUGCUCCCUCCUCCACACCCUCCUGGCCGCCACCAACACCAGCCCACCAAUCACAACCACUCUGUUCUAUCCCUUCCUCAGCCGGUCCGGCCCCUCCAGCCUUCUGCUCAGCCUGUCCAGUACUCAUCUGUCUCUUACCCACCUCAGCUGCUCUCCGUCUCCCCUAACCAACAAUACACUGUGCAAAACAACCUGGGAGCCCAGUUCAGCCACAUGAGCUUGGCCCGGCAGGUCUCUGGAGAGGGCCCAGGUCGGGACACCCACAUUGCCAUGUACCCCUCCUCCGUCGUGCUUCAGACCCCCCCUCAGCAGCAGGGCUACAUGGUGGCCCCUCCAGUCCAGCACGUCCCGGCACCCCAGGCCUACAACAACCCCGCCCCUCCACCUGUCAACCAGCCGGUCAUGCAGCAACAGGGCUACAUGCAGCAGCAGAUGCCAGCAUGUUACUGUGCGCCAGGCCAGUACCCCCUGUCCAACCAGCAGUACAGGCCUGUGGGCACAGUGCAGUUCAGCGCCCCACAGAGUCAGCCAAUGCCCCCGCCCACACAACAGACAGGUUACCAAACUGUGAUGCCAAAUCAGCCACAGAGCUAUCAGAGUAUGAUUGGAGUGCCACAUAGUCAGAACACUGUCAGUGGCCUGCAUAGCAAUAUGGGAAAUCAGAUGCAAGGCAUGAUGGUCCAGUAUCCCUCCAUGCCAUCUUAUCAGGUAUCCAUGCAGCCCCAAGGCUCACAGGGUGUGCCACAGCAGACAUAUCAGCAGCCUAUCAUCAACCACAACCAGUCCAACCAGGGGCCCAUGCCUGGUUCUGGUGUCCAGAUCUACUACAGUGUUAUCACACCCAAUCAACAGAACACCAUGAGGUUGGACAUCAUCACCACACUGUUUUAACAUGGAAAUACCUAUACCCAUUAUUACGCUUAUUGUAGACCCAUUACAUUGUUGAAUAGCGGUUCUAAAUGUAUUCCCAGUUUAACAAAACACCAUGUAAUAGGAAAUCACAAUAUUUUAAUGUGAACAUACUCUGAUUAUAGACAAAUUACAAUAUUACAGACCGUUAAUAUAUUCCUUAUUUUACAGUGAGACGUUUUUAGUUUUAACCGAUAACUAGCCCGUCUCUGUGAUGCUUCACACUGGGCUAUGCAUGGCAAAGAAAGGGGUCACUUUCCACCCCCCUCUUCCCUCCCCCUCAUGGGGCCUCUUCUUUAGUAGGCCAUGUUCAAGAUGAUUUAUAAGGCCAGAUAUCUACUGAGUCUUAAUAUAACAUUGCUGGUCCCAUGUGGUGAGCUGCUCUCUCUACACCAUCCUUCAUGCCAGCCCUCUGGUCCGCUGUGCAGACGCACACUAUUCCUCAGGGUGCCGAGCGGAGCGAAGAGCCGACUGUCUCCAGCAGCAGCUGCCUGCCUCUGUGCUUUGGGCUGACGCAUCACCCUGCCUCUUGCCUGCCUUCGCUUUGCUUUUAUCCUUAUUAAAUCACAACUGAAAUGAGCGAAAGAAGAGCCUGGAAAGCAGAAAACCCAAAGUUGCACACUGCAACCGCAAUUUGGUUACGGAGACACAGUAAAAAAUUAUGAUUGCCCUUGAUUUGUUUUGAUUUGAUAGAAAAUGAGGUCCGUAGCGAUUCCCAGCCUUUACUCGUUUCCGAUUGAGGAUAUUAGUGGUAGUUCUAAUGCCCCUGUGUACAGUGUUCCACUUCAGUAAUUUAGCCCAUUUUAAACUGAUGAGCCAAAUUCUGAUUACAUUGAGUGAAGCGCUGCCAGAGCUUUGCCUCUCUGCUGCUCAGCUUUAAAAAGUGUGUGUGUGUGUGUGUGUGUGUGUGUGUGUUUCUCUCUCUGCAGCUCCUCUGUUGGGUUCUUGC
ensembl:lncRNA